CGACAGGUCAGCCCCAUAGCGCCCCAUAGCGCCCAUAGAGCCCCAUAGAGCCCCAUGGUCAUCGAGUAUGUGGGGCAGAACAUCCGACAGGUCAGCCCCACCGCGCCCCAUAGCGCCCCAUAGCGCCCCAUAGAGCUCCAUAGAGCCCCAUAGAGCCCCAUAGAGCUCCAUAGAGCCCCAUAGAGCUCCAUAGAGCCCCAUGGUCAUCGAGUAUGUGGGGCAGAACAUCCGACAGGUCAGCCCCACCGCGCCCCAUAGCGCCCCAUAGCGCCCCAUAGAGCCCCAUAGAGCUCCAUAGAGCUCCAUAGAGCCCCAUAGAGCUCCAUAGAGCCCCAUGGUCAUCGAGUAUGUGGGGCAGAACAUCCGACAGGUCAGCCCCACCGCGCCCCAUAGCGCCCCAUAGCGCCCCAUAGAGCUCCAUAGAGCCCCAUGGUCAUCGAGUAUGUGGGGCAGAACAUCCGACAGGUCAGCCCCACCGCGCCCCAUAGCGCCCCAUAGAGCCCCAUAGAGCCCCAUAGA
ensembl:lncRNA